UACGAAGGGGGCUAGCGUUGCUCGGAAUCACUGGGCGUAAAGCGCACGUAGGCAGAUCUUUAAGUCAGGGGUGAAAUCCUGGAGCUCAACUCCAGAACUGCCUUUGAUACUGAGGAUCUCGAGUCCGGGAGAGGUGAGUGGAACUCCGAGUGUAGAGGUGAAAUUCGUAGAUAUUCGGAAGAACACCAGUGGCGAAGGCGGCUCACUGGCCCGGUACUGACGCUGAGGUGCGAAAGCGUGGGGAGCAAACAGG
rnacentral:rRNA from 1 species